GCGCCGUUGGUGUAAGGCGAACAUCGCUGCCCGGAAAGCAGAAGAUGCGGGUUCGAGUCCCGCCUGGCGCA
rfam:Heligmosomoides polygyrus genome assembly, scaffold: HPBE_scaffold0010947